rnacentral:piRNA from 1 species
UAAGGAAAUCAUUGCUCUUGACUUCAGC